GAUAAGGUGUCUGAAUUAGGUAAUAAACUGUAAAUUUAUUUAUGAGUAAAAACUCCCUUGUCA
rnacentral:tRNA from 1 species